UACGAAGGGGGCUAGCGUUGUUCGGAUUUACUAGGCGUAAAGCGCACGUAGGCGGAUCGUUAAGUCGGGGGUGAAAUCCUGGAGCUCAACUCCAGAACUGCCUUUGAUACUGAAGAUCUUGAGUUCGGGAGAGGUGAGUGGAACUGCGAGUGUAGAGGUGAAAUUCGUAGAUAUUCGCAAGAACACCAGUGGCGAAGGCGGCUCACUGGCCCGAUACUGACGCUGAGGCACGAAAGCGUGGGGAGCAAACAGG
rnacentral:rRNA from 1 species